rnacentral:rRNA from 1 species
AUCAGUUCAGCACUAAGUCACUUUGUCUUUAUGGCAAAUGUGAGAUGCAGUGUAUGGAAUGUCAAAUUUCUAGUAUGAGAAAUUAAUGAUUUAAGUCCUUCUUAAAUGAGGCCAUUUACCCAAAGAGGGUGCCAGGCCCGUAUAACAUUAAUGAUUACUAGAUGACAUUUCCAAAGAGUCGUGUUGCUUGAUAGUGCAGCACUAAGUGGGUGGUAAACUCCAUCUAAAACUAAAUAUAGCCAUGAGACCGAUAGUAAACAAGUACCGUGAGGGAAAGUUGAAAAGAACUCUGAAUAGAGAGUUAAAUAGUACGUGAAACUGCUUAGAGGUUAAGCCCGAUGAACCUGAAUAUUCUUUAUGGAAAAUUCAUCACUAUAAUUAUAUAAUAUAAAACAAUUAAUAUUAUAAUAGUGUGCAUUUUUUUCAUAAGGGACAUUGUGAUCUAUUAACUUAUAUAUAAAUUUAUCAUAAGAUCAUUAUGCGUAAGUUUAACAAUGUAAAUUUUGCUUGCAAUUUUUAAUAUUGGAUAAAUGCUUUUGAUUUGAUAAAGUGUUGAUAGAUAUAAUUAUAACAGUGCUUAAAUAUAUAUUAUAUAUUUUAUAAUAGCAUAUUAAUCAUUGAUUUUUAUGUUUAUUAUUAUGCACUUGUAUGAUCAACAAUGCGAAAGAUUCAGGAUACCUUCGGGACCCGUCUUGAAACACGGACCAAGGAGUCUAACAUAUUUGCAAGUUAUUGGGAAUAAAAACCUAAUAGCGAAAUUAACAUAACUUAAAUUAUAUUUAUAUAUUUAUAUAUAUAUAUAAUAAUGGGAUUAGUUUUUAGUACUAUUUUAUUAUAGUCUAUUAAUUCAAUCCCGGGGCGUUCUAUCAGUUAUGUAUAAUAAUAUUUUAUAUUAUUUAUACCUCUAACUAGAGCGUACCUUGAGCAUAUAUGCUGUGACCCGAAAGAUGGUGAACUAUACUGAU